GGGCGUGUAGCUCAAUUGGUUAGAGCACGCGGCUUAUAUCCGCGCGGUUCCUGGUUCGAGUCCAGGCACGCCCACCA
rnacentral:tRNA from 1 species